rnacentral:ncRNA from 2 species
CUCUUAUCGAGAGUUGGGCGAGGGAUUUGGCCUUUUGACCCCAACAGCAACCGACCGUUAAUACCACUGUGAAGUGGGGCGCAGCAAGUAAGCGCCAAGACAAUUGUCUUAUAGGGCACGGUGCUAAUUCCAUCAGACGUAUGUGCUGAGAGAUAAGAG